GAUCAAGUAAUUAAGCGCACAAGGUGGAUGCCUUGGCAGUAGAAGGCGAUGAAAGACGUGAUAGCCUGCGAAAAGCUUCGGGGAGCUGGCAAUGAGCAUUGAUCCGGAGAUAUCUGAAUGGGGAAACCCGCCGUACGAAGGUGCGGCAUGGCAACUUGAAUACAUAGAGUUGUUAAGCGAACCUGGAGAACUGAAACAUCUCAGUACCCAGAGGAAAAGAAAUCAACCGAGAUUUCCUGAGUAGUGGCGAGCGAAAGGGAAAGAGCCCAGUUAUCAGAGACGAAUAGGUUUAAGAGAACGGUGUGGAAACGCCGGCCGUAGAGGGUGAUAGCCCCGUAUUUAAAAAACCUGUUUGAGGAGAUGACGACGAGUAGGUCGGGACACGUGAAAUCCUGAUUGAAGAUGGGGGGACCAUCCUCCAAGGCUAAAUACUCUCUACUGACCGAUAGUGAACAAGUACCGUGAGGGAAAGGCGAAAAGAACCCCGGAGAGGGGAGUGAAAGAGAUCCUGAAACCGUGUGCGUACAAGCAGUCGGAGCGGAGGCAACUCUGUGACGGCGUACCUUUUGUAUAAUGGGUCAGCGAGUUACUUGCGUUGGCGAGCUUAACUGAAUAAGGAAGGCGAAGGGAAACCGAGUCUGAAAAGGGCGUUAAGUCGGCGUGAGUAGACCCGAAACCGGGCGAUCUAUCCAUGACCAGGAUGAAGGUUAGGUAACACUGACUGGAGGUCCGAACCCACUCCUGUUGAAAAAGUAGGGGAUGAGUUGUGGAUAGGAGUGAAAGGCUAAUCAAGCUCGGAGAUAGCUGGUUCUCCUCGAAAGCUAUUGAGGUAGUGCCUUGUGUGGUCAUUCUUGGGGGUAGAGCACUGUGCCGGCUAGGGGGUCUUGAUAGGCUUACCAACCCGAUGCAAACUACGAAUACCGAGAAAUGCAGCACAGGAGACACACGGCGGGUGAUAAGGUCCGUCGUGAAGAGGGAUACAGCCCAGACCGACAGCUAAGGUCCCGAAGAGAUGGUUAAGUGGGAAACGAUGUGAGAAGUCCGAGACAGCCAGGAGGUUGGCUUAGAAGCAGCCAUCCUUUAAAGAAAGCGUAAUAGCUCACUGGUCGAGUCGGCUUGCGCGGAAGAUGUAACGGGGCUAAAACCAUCCACCGAAGCUACGGGUUCAUAUGUCAAAAUAUGAGCGGUAGAGGAGCGUUCUGUAGGCCGAUGAAGGUGCAUUGAGAAGUGUGCUGGAGGUAUCAGAAGCGCGAAUGCUGACAUGAGUAACGAUAAUGCGGGUGAAAAACCCGCACGCCGAAAGUCCCAGGAUUCCUGCGCCACGUUAAUCGGCGCAGGGUGAGUCGGCCCCUAAGGCGAGGCGGAAACGCGUAGUCGAUGGGAAACGGGUUAAUAUUCCCGUACUUGAUUGUGUUGCGAAGUGAUGACGGAGAAAGCUAGGUCGUGCCGGGUGUUGGAAGUCCCGGUUAAAGUGAGUAGGAAGGAAUUCUAGGGAAAUCCGGAGUUCUAUUAAUUCUGAGACAUGAAAACGAUUAACCGUAAAGGUUGAGAAGACGCCGAUGCUAAGCUUCCAGGAAAAGUUGCUAAGCAUAAACACGAUUGAACCGUACCGGAAACCGACACAGGUGGACAAGUAGAGAAUACUAAGGCGUUUGAGAGAACUAGGGUGAAGGAACUAGGCAAAAUAGCACCGUAACUUCGGGAGAAGGUGUGCCUCUGUUAGAUGAAGGCCUUUACGGUUGGAGUUGAGAGAGGUUGCAAUAGUCAGGUGGUUGCGACUGUUUAAUAAAAACACAGCACUCUGCGAACUCGGAAGAGGAAGUAUAGGGUGUGACGCCUGCCCGGUGCCGGAAGGUUAAUUGAUGGGGUAAGCAGCAAUGCGAAGCUCUUGAUCGAAGCCCCGGUAAACGGCGGCCGUAACUAUAACGGUCCUAAGGUAGCGAAAUUCCUUGUCGGGUAAGUUCCGACCUGCACGAAUGGCGUAACGACAGCCACGCUGUCUCCAUCCUAGGCUCAGUGAAGUUGAAAUUGCUGUGAAGAUGCAGUGUACCCGCGGCAAGACGGAAAGACCCCGUGCACCUUUACUAUAGCUUUGCACUGAACUUUGAGAUUGCCUGUGUAGGAUAGGUGGGAGGCGAAGAAGUUAUGGCGCUAGCCAUGAUGGAGCCGACGUUGAAAUACCACCCUGGCAUACUCGGAGUUCUAACCUGGUCCCCUGAACGGGGAUGGGAACAGUGCAUGGUGGGUAGUUUGACUGGGGCGGUCUCCUCCUAAAGAGUAACGGAGGAGCACGAAGGUACCCUCAGCGCGGUCGGAAAUCGCGCGUAGCGUGUAAGAGCGAAAGGGUGCUUGACUGAGAGACAGACAUGUCGAUCAGGUGCGAAAGCAGGUUCUAGUGAUCCGGUGGUUCUGAAUGGAAGGGCCAUCGCUCAACGGAUAAAAGGUACGCCGGGGAUAACAGGCUGAUACCGCCCAAGAGUUCAUAUCGACGGCGGUGUUUGGCACCUCGAUGUCGGCUCAUCACAUCCUGGGGCUGAAGCAGGUCCCAAGGGUAUGGCUGUUCGCCAUUUAAAGUGGUACGCGAGCUGGGUUUAGAACGUCGUGAGACAGUUCGGUCCCUAUCUGCCGUGGGCGUUAGAGAUUUGAGGGGAGCUGCUCCUAGUACGAGAGGACCGGAGUGGACGUACCGCUGGUGAAUCGGUUGUCAUGCCAAUGGCACGGCCGAGUAGCUAAGUACGGAAAGGAUAACCGCUGAAAGCAUCUAAGCGGGAAGCCAGCCCCGAGAUGAGAUCUCUCGAGCCGCAAGGCUCCUAAAGGUUUGUUGAAGACUACAACGUUGAUAGGCGGGGAGUGGAAGUGCAGUAAUGCAUGUAGCUUACCCGUACUAAUUGACCGUGAGGCUUGAUCAU
rfam:Gammaproteobacteria bacterium SCGC AG-212-F23 AG-212-F23.35, whole genome shotgun sequence.